UAGGAAUGUGCAGGAGUGGGAUGUUCCCAAAAUAUCGCCUGCCAUUUGGUAACCCAAGCAACGGUUGGUGUGCUUGUGUCACAAGUACUAUGGCCUUUUUAUGUUCUCCUGGACCUCAUCUUUGGAAAGAAGUCUUCAAAAACUUCUCGAAGGUGUUUGACCAGUUCUCCGAUACAGCAUUGUUGGAGCCAGUGCACGAAAAAGGCAAAGUUGAAAAGACUUGGGGGCAAAGCCAGUUCAUGUUCCUAAUCUGGUUCUUGGAGGUGAUAUGCUCCCUCUCUUGCAAAGGGAUUCUCUUCUGCUGCAGCAUCCGCACAGGGGCUCUGGGAAGAGCCGUGGUGUCAGUGCAUGACAUGAGGCAGAGCCAGAGCUGCUCAGAAAAUCGUUGUGCUAAGUUUC